GACGAACGCUGGCGGCGUGCCUAAUACAUGCAAGUCGAACGCAGUGGGGACGGGUGAGUAACACGUGGGUAACCUCCCAUCAGAGGGGAUAACACUUGGAAACAGGUGCUAAACCGAUACUGAUGGAUGGACCCGCGGUGCAUUAGCUAGUUGGUGAGGUAACGGCUCACCAAGGCCACGAUGCAUAGGCGACCGGAGGGGGGGAUCGGCCACCUGGGGGAUGAGACACGGCCCAGAAUCCGACGGGAGGCAGCAGCAGGGAAGCUUCGGGAAGGAGCGAAAGGCUGAACGAGCAACGCCGGGUGAGUGAAGAAGGUUUUCGGAUCGUAAAACUCUGUUGUUAGAGAAGCGGUAUCUAACCAGAAAGCCACGGUUAACUACGUGCCAGCAGCGGCGGAAAUA
rnacentral:rRNA from 1 species